rnacentral:rRNA from 1 species
CUCCGUGCCAGCAGCCGCGGUAAUACGGAGGGUGCGAGCGUUAAUCGGAAUUACUGGGCGUAAAGCGCAUGCAGUGUCAUAAGUCAGAUGUGAAAGCCCGGGGCUCAACUCGGAACUGCAUUUGAAACUGGUGAACUAGAGUACUGUAGAGGGGGGUAGAAUUUCAGGUGUAGCGGUGAAAUGCGUAGAGAUCUGAAGGAAUACCAGUGGCGAAGGCGGCCCCCUGGACAGAUACUGACACUCAGAUGCGAAAGCGUGGGGAGCAAACAGGAUUAGAUACCCUGGUAGUCCACGCCGUAAACGAUGUCUACUUGGAGGUUGUGGCCUUGAGCCGUGGCUUUCGGAGCUAACGCGUUAAGUAGACCGCCUGGGGAGUACGGUCGCAAGAUUAAAGCUCAAAUGAAUUGACGGGGGCCCGCACAAGCGGUGGAGCAUGUGGUUUAAUUCGAUGCAACGCGAAGAACCUUACCUACUCUUGACAUCCAGAGAAGCAGCGGAGACGCAGGUGUGCCUUCGGGAACUCUGAGACAGGUGCUGCAUGGCUGUCGUCAGCUCGUGUUGUGAAAUGUUGGGUUAAGUCCCGCAACGAGCGCAACCCUUAUCCUUGUUUGCCAGCGAGUAAUGUCGGGAACUCCAGGGAGACUGCCGGUGAUAAACCGGAGGAAGGUGGGGACGACGUCAAGUCAUCAUGGCCCUUACGAGUAGGGCUACACACGUGCUACAAUGGCGCAUACAGAGGGCAGCAAGCUAGCGAUAGUGAGCGAAUCCCAAAAAGUGCGUCGUAGUCCGGAUUGGAGUCUGCAACUCGACUCCAUGAAGUCGGAAUCGCUAGUAAUCGUAGAUCAGAAUGCUACGGUGAAUACGUUCCCGGGCCUUGUACACACCGCCCGUCACACCAUGGGAGUGGGCUGCAAAAGAAGUGGGUAGUUUAACCUUUCGGGGAGGACGCU